ACGUGUUGAUGACUUCCAACUUUUUACCCAUCUUAUCAAGUUUUCACUUUUCACCAAAAGCGUUUUUGGUUUCCAGAACAAGAGAAAAAGAUCACAGACAGAAGAGAGUGCCGGUGACCGGUCACGAUCACCAAGCCGCCCCGCAACGCAGAGAGAAAGAGAAGAGAUAAAAACCCGGCCAACCCUCCAUCUCAGCCCUUCUUCGCCGUUUGUGGUGGCUAUAGGCGAUGCCGAUGAUAACCAGGGUUCCGACGCACAGCGGUGGUCUUUUCCGGUACAACAGAUGACCAGGAAAUUCCAUAGAUCGUUUACAUGCAACAUCUGUUUUUUGUAGGCUAACUCAGAUCUGGAUUUCAACCCACCGUCAACUCAUCAUAUGGAUUCCUAGCUUUUGAAACCUCCGCUGUUUAUCUAGCCUGCAAUCACCACCGCCAUAACAGUCUAGCGGGAGGUUCUGGACUAGAAUCUACUGGAAGGACUAAAUUCAAGCAUAUAACUGGAAGUUUUUAAGCUAAUACCAAAUUUUGAACUGGGCUUCUUGACAUUAUUAGAUGAGUGUAAUGAUAAUUGUGACAACAGACAACAAUAAAUCCGUACCAAUUAAAAAUAUCUCAUGUAUGAAUUAUCUUUUGUUCACUUUAAAUUUAGAUUUGUGAUUUUUCAUAUUUAGGCCAGGGGGUGUGGUACUGUGGUAUACCGCCUCUGGCCACAUCACCUUUGUUAGCGCUUCAUUGCGCCCCUUAGCCACCCCCUGCCCGCCAAAGAGGGGGCACCAUUGAUGGCAUGCCAGCACGCUAACGAACGCUAAAGGGUGUGUGCGGGUGGGCUUUAAACCAUCAACCAAUCAAAUAUGUUGUUUUUUUUUAUUUUGUUUAAUAGGGGGUUUAAACCAUUGCAUGCAAUUUAAACCCUCUUGUGGAUCUGACAUGAAACUAUAAAGCCCGUAGGGCCACACCCCCAGCCUUUUGAUUCAUGAAUUUUUAACAAUUUAACUCAAUUGAUAUCUGGAACACAGUCAGUAUUACUGCCCAGAAUGCUAGGGUCAGUCUUCGCUUGACCAAUAUCUGUAGACAAGCAAUGAUCAGCGUACAAUUCCUGAAAAAUUAAAUGUCGUCUAUAUGGACGUUGAAGAAGUUUACCAUCGAAAUAUUCAUAUCGAAAGUGUCAUUCAUGCGGCAACAGAGUCAAAUCCCACCUAAAUGGGAUUAACAUAUUGGUUCCAAA